CAAGUGAAAAAAAUGAGUGAAAGAAGGCUGACGAAGAGAGUGUAUAAGGGAAAAGUAGAAGAGGGAAUCGGGGAAAUCCUGAGGAAAGGCCAGGUCAAGAGCACCCUAAACCGGCGAGCGUGUAUGAGGAAUGUUAUGAAAGUAACGGAAGCGAAAGAGGUAUGUCAGGAUCGUAGCAAUUGGAAAUCCGUGGUCUCUGCCAACCCCUCCGGGAAAUAGGCGUGAUUAUAUGUAUGUAUGUAUAAUAUAAUUCUA